CUGUAUCUCUUGUAAGUUGGUGGUUCUCAAAGGAAAGACACCCGAGAAUGCAUUUGUCUACUGGGAUACUGCAACAAAGCCUCUCAGCCAGGACAUAGAGGGACGCAGGAUGAAAUCUGCAGGACAUGUACUCAGAAUGUCACCAGAACGUGCACCUAAGAUAGCAAUGAUAUGGCAAGGUGACGGAUGAAGGAAAAGAGGCCGACCAAAACUCA